UCAAGUUAUUAAGGGUGCAGGGCGGAUGCCUUGGCACUAGGAGCCGAUGAAGGACGUGAUAAGCUGCGAUAAGCUUCGGGGAGUUGCACGUAAACUUUGAUCCGAAGAUUUCCGAAUGAGGAAACUCACUUAGAGUAAUGUCUAAGUAUCAUUAAGUGAAUACAUAGCUUAAUGAGGGGAACUCAGGGAACUGAAACAUCUAAGUACCUGAAGGAAGAGAAAGAAAUUCGAUUCCGUAAGUAGCGGCGAGCGAACGCGGAUUAGCCCAAACCAAUAAAGUUUUCUUUAUUGGGGUUGCGGACAUAUCAUAACGAAGAGGUAUCGUAAUUGAAGAGGUUUGGAAAGACCCACCACAGAAGGUAAUAGUCCUGUAUGUUAAACGAGAAGACUUCAGAUAUGAUCCAGAGUACCACGGGACACGUGAAACCCUGUGGGAAGCAGGAGGGACCACCCUCCAAGGCUAAAUACUACCUAGUGACCGAUAGCGUAUAGUACCGUGAGGGAAAGGUGAAAAGAACCCCGGGAGGGGAGUGAAAUAGAACCUGAAACCCUGCACUUACAAGCUGUGGAAGCACAUUUCUUGUGUGACCGCGUACUUUUUGUAGAACGGGCCAACGAGUUACGUUAAGUAGCAAGGUUAAGCACUUAAGGUGCGGAGCCGUAGCGAAAGCGAGUUUUAACUGAGCGUUCAGUUACUUGACGUAGACCCGAAACCGGGCGACCUACCCAUGAGCAGGAUGAAGCGAAAGUAAAAUUUCGUGGAGGUCCGAACCCACGAGCGUUGAAAAGCUCGGGGAUGACUUGUGGGUAGCGGUGAAAUUCCAAUCGAGCCCGGAGAUAGCUGGUUCUCCCCGAAAUAGCUUUAGGGCUAGCCUCAAGGUGAGAGAUACGGAGGUAGAGCACUGAAUGUCCUAGGGGGUAUUGCACCUACCGAAGACUAUCAAACUCCGAAUGCCGUCAUCUUAUACUUGGGAGUCAGACUGUGGGUGAUAAGAUUCAUAGUCGAAAGGGCAACAGCCCAGAUCGUCAGCUAAGGUCCCUAAAUGUAAGUUAAGUGGUAAAGGAUGUGGGAUUGCACAGACAACCAGGAUGUUGGCUUAGAAGCAGCCACUCAUUCAAAGAGUGCGUAAUAGCUCACUGGUCGAGUGAUCCUGCGCCGAAGAUUUCCGGGGCUAAAACUUACUACCGAAGCUACGGCAUCAGUAAUGAUGGGUAGGGGAGCUUCCCAUACGGGUUGAAGCAUGACCGUAAGGACAUGUGGACAGUAUGGGAGUGAGAAUGUUGGCAUGAGUAGCGAGAUGUGGGUGAGAAUCCCACAGGCCGUAAACCCAAGGUUUCCAGGGGAAGGUUCGUCCGCCCUGGGUUAGUCGGGACCUAAGCUGAGGCCGAAAGGCGUAGGUGAUGGACAACAGGUUGAUAUUCCUGUACUACCGAUAACCGUUUGAGAGAAGGGAUGACACAGUAGGAUAAGCUAAGCACACUGUUGGUUAUGUGUGCCCAAGCAUUGAGGCAGUCAAAGCAGGCAAAUCCGCUUUGAUAAUGCUGGGAUGUGAUGGGGAGCGAAAUUUAGUAGCGAAGUAGCUGAUUUCACACUGUCAAGAAAAGUCUCUAUCGAGGUUAAAGGUACCCGUACCGCAAACCGACACAGGUGGGUGAGGAGAGUAUCCUAAGGCCAGCGAGAGAACUGUUGUUAAGGAACUCGGCAAAAUGACCCCGUAACUUAGGGAUAAGGGGUGCCACCAUCCGGUGGCCGCAGAGAAUAGGCCCAAGCGACUGUUUACCAAAAACAUAGGUUUCUGCUAAGUCGCAAGACGAUGUAUAGGAGCUGACGCCUGCCCGGUGCUGGAAGGUUAAGGGGAUCUGUUAGAGCAAUCGAAGCAGUGAACUUAAGCCCCAGUAAACGGCGGCCGUAACUAUAACGGUCCUAAGGUAGCGAAAUUCCUUGUCGGGUAAGUUCCGACCCGCACGAAAGGCGUAACGAUUUGGGCACUGUCUCAACAACAGACUCGGUGAAAUUGUAAUUCCGGUGAAGAUGCCGGAUACCUGCGACAGGACGGAAAGACCCCAUGGAGCUUUACUGUAGCUUGACAUUGGGUCUUGGUACUACAUGUACAGGAUAGGUGGGAGGCUUUGAAACCAGGACGCCAGUUUUGGCGGAGCCAUCCUUGGGAUACCACCCUUGUAGUACUGGGACUCUAACCAUAGGCCAUGAAUCUGGUCUUGGGACACUGUCAGGUGGGCAGUUUGACUGGGGCGGUCGCCUCCCAAAAGGUAACGGAGGCGCUCAAAGGUUCUCUCAGUACGGUCGGAAAUCGUACGUAGAGUGUAAAGGCAAAAGAGAGCUUGAUUGCAAGACAUACAGGUCGAGCAAGGAUGAAAAUCGGACUUAGUGAUCCGGUGGUUCUGCGUGGAAGGGCCAUCGCUCAACGGAUAAAAGCUACCCUGGGGAUAACAGGCUUAUCUCCCCCAAGAGUCCACAUCGACGGGGAGGUUUGGCACCUCGAUGUCGGCUCAUCACAUCCUGGGGCUGUAGUAGGUCCCAAGGGUUGGGCUGUUCGCCCAUUAAAGUGGUACGCGAGCUGGGUUCAGAACGUCGUGAGACAGUUCGGUCCCUAUCCGUCGCAGGCGUAGGAAAUUUGAGAAGACCUGUCCUUAGUACGAGAGGACCGGGAUGGACGUACCUCUGGUGUACCAGUUGUCCUGCCAAGGGCAUGGCUGGGUAGCUAUGUACGGAAUGGAUAAGCGCUGAAAGCAUCUAAGCGCGAAGCCAACUUCAAGAUAAGAUUUCCCACCGCAAGGGUAAGACCCCAGAAAGACUAUCUGGUUGAUAGGUCGAAGGUGUAAGUGCAGCAAUGUAUUUAGCUUAUCGAUACUAAUAGGUCGAGGACUUGACCAA
rnacentral:rRNA from 1 species